CAGGUUGUUAGGGAGGCAAAUGUUGGAGAUGAAACGGGACGAUAAUUAUAAAUAAUCUUCUGCAGGGUUGUUCGGUGAUCUAUUAAAGAACUCAUGGUUCAUGGUACUUGUACUAUUACAAAUACAAUGGAAUUAUGGAGGAGAUGUUGGAAGAAGUGACAACUACCCUCGAAGAUGUGCAGGAUGGAAUGAAACAUAUAGAAGAGGGAACGUCCAAACUUGGGGGCAAUGACUAUAGCAAGGGCGAGGAGUUUCUAAGCUUAGUCUCAUGUGAUAUGAAAAGAAUGUAUAUUCGGAUUGGGGUCGUUGGCAUCGACAGUGCCUACUGAAUGAUCGUUGUUCGGUAGCGACUGUCGCACCCCUAUAGUUGAGCCUACAAGUAGGUAAUGCAUAAUGAUUAUUAAGCGGGAGCAACAAAUUCUAAGGAAACAAAAUAUGACCAGCAUGGUACAGUUCAGAAGAUUCAGACUCACUUAGACCGCCGUGACCCGAACGGUGAUACCGGUGCUCCCCCGGUCGCAUGAUGUAUUCUUGUUUUAUAUUUCGUUUAGUU